CAUGGGAGAACAAUGCUAGUGACAGGACUCCUAAUCAGUAAUCUUUCUCUGGGUUCCCGGAACCAGGAAAGUCUGCCAGGUCAGCGGUCUGUGGGCCACAUCGAAGUCGUGUCAAGAGAAUUGAUUAUCCCAAGAGCUGAUGACCACCUGGCUGCAGAUCACCAUCAAUUUCUUCUAUGAAAGGACAGAUCUUGAGAGCCGUUCCUGUGACUGCAGAGCCUCCAGUUUCUCGGAAUAACCGAUUACAAAUGCAUCAGUGAAAGAUACCUGGGGCUCCUCUGCUUCCUGGGAGGCCCUUCCAUUCAGUACACAGGAGAUGAAGCCUGUGCUGUGUGCUUGACAAUUUCCUGCCUCCCUGCUUGGCGGUAAAAUGCUAGAAGACCAGGAUCCUGCCUGGUUUUGUUCCGCACCAAGGCUGGCUCAGUAUGAUUGAAUAAAACGUGUACCAAAGGAAAUGCCACAUCCAGACUAAUUGCAAGAAAACCAAAGGAAGCUAUUAUAAUUAUCAUUAACUUUCUAAUCACAACAGCAUAGUGCCUUCAUUUAUACAGGAAAAUAUCAAAGAGUAGAGGUGCAAAGAGGAAGAUGUUAUAAAAAGGGGCAGCCUGGAAAUUAGAGGUCACACCUCCUCUUUUUCCUUCCUAUUAGACAUUCAAUCCCUUUUUUUCAUUCCAGGAUUCAACUCUGGGGUGCUUAACCAUGGAGUCACAUCCCCAGCCCUUUUUUAUAUUUUAUUUAGAGACAGGGUUUUGUUAAAUUGCUUAGGGCCUCACAAAGUUGCUAAGGCUGGUGAUCCUCCUGCCUCAGCCUCCUGAGCCACUGAGAUUACAGGCGUGUUCCACUGGGCCAGGCUUAGGAGUUCUUCUUCUCCCUCCAUCCCCUCAGUCGACAUCAGUGCUGAGUUACCUGUUUCCGAUUUUUUUUUUUUUCUUACACUGGU